GAACUGGAUCAAUCACACUGGCACUGGG
rnacentral:sRNA from 1 species